rnacentral:rRNA from 1 species
GAAUGGUUGGACAAAGAAGAAACUGUCUCUUGUGUAAUUAUUGAAUUUAACUUUUAAGUGAAAAGGCUUAAAUAUUCUAGAGGGACGAUAAGACCCUAUAAAGCUUUAUAAAUUUAAAGAUUUUAUAUAUUUUUUAUAUAAAAAUAAAUUCUAUGAGGUUUAUUUGGUUGGGGCGACAAUGAUAUAAUUAUAAUAACUGUUAUUAAAUUAAACAAUUAUAUUUGUGUUAUUAAAAUAAUAGAUCCUUUAUAAAGAUUUAAAGAUCAAGUUACUUUAGGGAUAACAGCGUUAUUUUUCCUGAGAGUCCUUAUCAAAGGAAAAGUUUGCGACCUCGAUGUUGAAUUAAAAUGUCUUUAUAGUGCAGCAGCUAUAAAAGAAGGUCUGUUCGACCUUUAAUAUUUUACAUGAUUUGAGUUCAGACCGGCGGGAGCCAGGUCGGUUUCUAUCUUCUAGGUAUAAAGGAGUGCUUUAGUACGAAAGGAUUAAGUAGUCAAAAUUUUUUUUAAUAAUGAAAU